UACGUAGGUGUCGAGCGUUGUCCGGAUUUAUUGGGCGUAAAGAGCCCGCAGGCGGCUUGGCAAGUUUGAGGUGAAAUCUCCCGGCUUAACUGGGAGGGGGCCUCGAAAACUGCCAGGCUUGAGGCAUGGAGAGGGAUGCGGAAUUCCCGGUGUAGUGGUGAAAUGCGUAGAUAUCGGGAGGAACACCAGUGGCGAAGGCGGGUCUCUGGGCCGAUACUGACACUGAGGAGCGAAAGCGUGGGUAGCAAACAGG
rnacentral:rRNA from 1 species